GUAGGUGGCAAGCGUUGUCCGGAAUUAUUGGGCGUAAAGCGCGCGCAGGCGGGGUCCUUUAAGUCUGAUGUGAAAAGCCCACGGGCUCAACCGUGGAGGGGUCAUUGGAAACUGGGGGGACUUGAGUACAGAAGAGGAAAGCGGAAUUCCAAGUGUAGCGGUGAAAUGCGUAGAGAUUUGGAGGAACACCAGUGGCGAAGGCGGCUUUCUGGUCUGUAACUGACGCUGAGGCGCGAAAGCGUGGGGAGCAAACAGGAUUAGAUACCCUGGUAGUCCACGCCGUAAACGAUGAGUGCUAAGUGUUAGGGGGUUUCCGCCCCUUAGUGCUGCAGCUAACGCAUUAAGCACUCCGCCUGGGGAGUACGGCCGCAAAGGCUG
rnacentral:rRNA from 1 species